rnacentral:rRNA from 1 species
GGAUUAGAUACCCUGGUAGUCCACGCUGUAAACGAUGAAUGCUAGGUGUCGGGGGUCGAACCUCGGUGCCGCAGCUAACGCAUUAAGCAUUCCACCUGGGGAGUACGAUCGCAAGAUUGAAACUCAAAGGAAUUGACGGGGGCCCGCACAAGCGGUGGAGCAUGUGGUUUAAUUCGAAGCAACGCGAAGAACCUUACCAAAUCUUGACAUCCUUCUGACCACUCCGUAAUGGGAGGAUCCCUUCGGGGCAGAAGAGACAGGUGGUGCAUGGUUGUCGUCAGCUCGUGCC